UACGGGGGGAGCAAGCGUUGUUCGGAUUUACUGGGCGUAAAGGGCGCGUAGGCGGCCACCGCAAGUCGGUUGUGAAAUCUCUGGGCUUAACCCAGAAAGGUCAACCGAUACUGCGGGGCUAGAGUGCAGAAGGGGCAACUGGAAUUCUCGGUGUAGCGGUGAAAUGCGUAGAUAUCGAGAGGAACACCUGCGGCGAAGGCGGGUUGCUGGGCUGACACUGACGCUGAAGCGCGAAAGCGUGGGGAGCGAACAGG
rnacentral:rRNA from 1 species